UACAGAGGUCCCAAGCGUUGUUCGGAUUCACUGGGCGUAAAGGGGGCUUAGGUGGUGGGGUAAGUCGGAUGUGAAAGCUCGGAGCUCAACUCCGAAAUGGCAUUGGAAACUACCCUGCUAGAGGAUUGGAGGGGGGACUGGAAUACUUGGUGUAGCAGUGAAAUGCGUAGAUAUCAAGUGGAACACCAGUGGCGAAGGCGAGUCCCUGGACAAUACCUGACACUGAGGCACGAAAGCUAGGGGAGCAAACAGG
rnacentral:rRNA from 1 species